CGUAGGCGCAAGCGUUAUCCGGAAUUAUUGGGCGUAAAGAGCUCGUAGGCGGUUUUGUCGCGUCUGCUGUGAAAUCCGGAGGCUCAACCUCCGGCCUGCAGUGGGUACGGGCAGACUAGGGUGCGGUAGGGGAGAUUGGAAUUCCUGGUGUAGCGGUGGAAUGCGCAGAUAUCAGGAGGAACACCGAUGGCGAAGGCAGAUCUCUGGGCCGUAACUGACGCUGAGGAGCGAAAGGGUGGGGGAGCAAACAGGCUU
rnacentral:rRNA from 1 species